UACGUAGGGUGCGAGCGUUAAUCGGAAUUACUGGGCGUAAAGAGUGCGUAGGCGGUUCUUGAAGUCCGCUGUGAAAGCCCCGGGCUUAACCUGGGAAUGGCAGUGGAAACUGGAGGACUUGAAUUGAGCAGAGGGGGGUGGAAUGCCGCGUGUAGCAGUGAAAUGCGUAGAGAUGCGGCGGAACACCGAUGGCGAAGGCAGCGCCCUGGGCUUAAAUUGACGCUGAGGCACGAAAGCGUGGGGAGCAAACAGG
rnacentral:rRNA from 1 species